rnacentral:misc_RNA from 1 species
UCGUAACAAGGUUUCCGUAGGUGAACCUGCGGAAGGAUCAUUACCGAGUUCAUGCCCUCGCGGGUAGAUCUCCCACCCUUUGUAUACUAUACCUUUGUUGCUUUGGCGGGCCGCCUAGCUACUGGCUUCGGCUGGUAAGUGCCCGCCAGAGGACCCAAAACCCUGAAUAUUAGUGUCGUCUGAGUAAAAUUUUAAUAUUUAAAACUUUCAACAACGGAUCUCUUGGCUCUGGCAUCGAUGAAGAACGCAGCGAAAUGCGAUAAGUAAUGUGAAUUGCAGAAUUCAGUGAAUCAUCGAAUCUUUGAACGCACAUUGCGCCCCUUGGUAUUCCGAGGGGCAUGCCUAUUCGAGCGUCAUUAUCACCCCUCAAGCUUCGGCUUGGUGUUGAGGCCUGCUGUAAAGGCACCCUCUAAAAUCAGUGGCAGUGCUGUCAGGCUCUAAGCGUAGUAAUUUCAUCGCUAUAGGGUCCUGGUGGAUACUCGUCAGAACCCCCCCAUUUUUUAAUGAUUGACCUCGGAUUAGGUAGGGAUACCCGCUGAACUUAAGCAUAUCAAUAAGCGGAGGAAAAGAAACCAACAGGGAUUGCCUCAGUAACGGCGAGUGAAGCGGCAAAAGCUCA